rnacentral:rRNA from 1 species
AGCGAACGCUGGCGGCAGGCUUACCACAUGCAAGUCGAACGGGCGUAGCAAUACGUCAGUGGCAGACGGGUGAGUAACGCGUGGGAACGUACCUUUUGGUUCGGAACAACCCAGGGAAACUUGGGCUAAUACCGGAUAAGCCCUUACGGGGAAAGAUUUAUCGCCGAAAGAUCGGCCCGCGUCUGAUUAGCUAGUUGGUGAGGUAACGGCUCACCAAGGCGACGAUCAGUAGCUGGUCUGAGAGGANGAUCAGCCACAUUGGGACUGAGACACGGCCCAAACUCCUACGGGAGGCAGCAGUGGGGAAUAUUGGACAAUGGGCGCAGGCCUGAUCCAGCCAUGCCGCGUGAGUGAUGAAGGCCCUAGGGUUGUAAAGCUCUUUUGUGCGGGAAGAUAAUGACGGUACCGCAAGAAUAAGCCCCGGCUAACUUCGUGCCAGCCGCCGCGGUAAC